AUUGAACGCUGGCGGCAGGCCUAACACAUGCAAGUCGAGCGGCAGCACAAGGGAGUUUACUCCUGAGGUGGCGAGCGGCGGACGGGUGAGUAAUGCCUAGGGAUCUGCCCAGUCGAGGGGGAUAACAGUUGGAAACGACUGCUAAUACCGCAUACGCCCUACGGGGGAAAGAGGGGGACCUUCGGGCCUCUCGCGAUUGGAUGAACCUAGGUGGGAUUAGCUAGUUGGUGAGGUAAUGGCUCACCAAGGCGACGAUCCCUAGCUGUUCUGAGAGGAUGAUCAGCCACACUGGGACUGAGAAACGGCCCAGACUCCUACGGGAGGCAGCAGUGGGGAAUAUUGCACAAUGGGGGAAACCCUGAUGCAGCCAUGCCGCGUGUGUGAAGAAGGCCUUCGGGUUGUAAAGCACUUUCAGUAGGGAGGAAAGGGUGAGUCUUAAUACGGCUCAUCUGUGACGUUACCUACAGAAGAAGGACCGGCUAACUCCGUGCCAGCCGCCGCGGUAA
rnacentral:rRNA from 1 species